rnacentral:lncRNA from 1 species
AAAUUUGAGCCUACCUCAAAAAUUUCAUUAGAAGUGUUUGUUUUGAUGCCUAAAUAUCCUCAAAUUGAUGAUCUCGACAUCAAGAUGCAAUGACAUGAGAAAAAAAAAGAUUUCAAGUUUUGAAAACAGUGUAUUUUGUAACGUAUUUUUUGACUGUCAAUUCUCAAGAUUUUCAAGUUUUCAUAGAUUUGUCGAUCUACACUAUUUUUGGAGCUUUAAACUUUAUAAAUAAAGAUGAAAAUACAUGUUAAGGAUGUCACAAAGAUUUCCGAUAUUGAAACCACAUGCUGGACACUAUUGGACGGUAGGCUCUAAUUUGAUUGUUCAGAGCCUAGGCUCUUUACUCUAUACAAACCACACUUUUAUUUUUUCUAUAAAGUUUUAUUUUUGGGAUUGUAUACAAUGUGAUCAUUUAUUUAUUUCAUAAAGUUUUAUUUUUAGGAUUGUAUACUAUGAGACCAUUUACUUUUGAUACAAGGUGGUAACGAUUUGUU